CCAAUAGCGUAUAUUAAAGUUGUUGCAGUUAAAAAGCUCGUAGUUGAAUUUCGGGAUCAGUAGGUUGGUCAUGCCUUUGGUAUGUACUGGCCUCACUGAUUCCUCCCUCUUGAAGAACCGUAAUGUCAUUAAUUUGGUGUUGCGGGGAAUCAGGACUGUUACUUUGAAAAAAUUAGAGUGUUUAAAGCAGGCUUACGCUUGAAUACAUUAGCAUGGAAUAAUGAAAUAGGACGUAUGAUCCUAUUUUGUUGGUUUCUAGGAUUGACGUAAUGAUUAAUAGGGAUAGUUGGGGGCAUUAGUAUUCAAUUGUCAGAGGUGAAAUUCUUGGAUUUAUUGAAGACUAACUACUGCGAAAGCAUUUGCCAAGGAUGUUUUCAUUAAUCAAGAACGAAAGUUAGGGGAUCGAAGACGAUCAGAUACCGUCGUAGUCUUAACCAUAAACUAUGCCGACUAGGGAUCGGAUGAUGUUAAUUUUUUAAUGACUCAUUCGGCGCCUUACG
rnacentral:rRNA from 1 species